AUACCGGCGGCUCGAGUGGUGGCCGCUUUUAUUGGGCUUAAAGCGUUCGUAGCUGGGUCGUUAAGUCUCUUGGGAAAUCCGGCAGCUCAACUGUCGGGCGUCUAAGAGAUACUGGCGAUCUUGGAACCGGGAGAGGUGAGGGGUACUCCCAGGGUAGGGGUGAAAUCCUAUAAUCCUGGGAGGACCACCUGUGGCGAAGGCGCCUAACUGGAACGGACCUGACGGUGAGUAACGAAAGCCAGGGGCGC
rnacentral:rRNA from 1 species